UUGUCAAUUUCCACGUGUCCAUGGAGAACACGUUCUAGACGGCCCCUUCUCCCUCACUGCUGAUUUCACAGGGGCAAAAUGGGGGAGGCGGACUGGCACCCACUCUCCUGGCCCUCGCCUGCCAGCCAUUGUCCACUCCUCUAUGCCCACUCCAAGGCUUGGCACAGAAGGAGCUGCUCAGCAGAUGUGUUAGCAGCAAGAGAACAAGGAGUGGCUGGGCACUGUGGCUCACGCCUGUAAUCCUAGCUUUUGAGAGGCAGAGGCAGGAGAAAUGCUUGAGCCCAGGAGGCUGAGGCUGCAGUGAGCUGUGAUUGAGCAUGCUACUGCACUCCAGCCUGGGUGACACAGAGAGACCCUGUGUCCAAAACAAAAAAGGGUGAUGGGGAGGCUGCAGCCCGUGUGGGGCCACCUACCUGCCCAGCUGCCCUCGGGUGGCUGAGCUCCUCUCCCAUCUCCACUGUGUGGAUGGAUGUGGGCCUCCUGUACCCAGACAGAGCAGAGCCCCGCAGGUAUAACAGGAAUUCUGGGGUGUCCUGAAGCUUGGUUUAAAGUGGGGUAUGGAUCCCAUGCUCCCCUCCCUGUCCCCUGACUGGGUGGCUGACUGAUCACAUUUCGCCAGGAAAGGCACAUGGCCUCCUGCGUGCUCUGCCCCUCCCCCUGCCCAGCUGUGUGCUGGGCUCCGGUUACCUGGCCCCGGAAGAGGGCAUGACCUCCUUUCCCCCCAGCCCUGCCCCACUCCCCAUCAGGCUGGACUCAGAUCCCUAUUCUGGGAACCCAGAAACCACCGCAGGGGUGAGCAGGAGGCCCUUCAGGUCUAGAGGGGAGGACUUCCCACUUGAGCAAGAUGGCAGCAUUUUCGAGUCCCCUAAUAUGUGACCUGAGACACACGGCAGUAAACACACACAGGGCCCCGCCGUCCAGAACCGCUCAGCUUCCCUUCCAAGAUGCCUGCUGCGGUGCCGCUUUCCAUAGCCAUGUCUGGGACCCACCUUGCUCCCUGCCUGCCCCCUGGUCUUGGCUUCUGGAAAUCAGUCCUGACCAGUGUGAUACUCGCUCUUCUGUGGACCAGAGCAUCCUAGGGCAGCCCUUAGAUGCCGCAUUCGGAGGCAGGAAACGCCUGGGACUUGAAUCUCCAGCUCCUGUGUCACCACCUCCGGGAAGCCCUCCUGGUCCUUUCUGACAGUCUACUGCCCAGUUCCUUUUUUAAGAAGUGUUUAUGCCAGCUGUCAUUGCAUAUUUACGUGUGUGAAUUGCUCCUUGCCUGUCUCUCCUCCUUGGGGAUAGUGACUUGGCUCAGUUUGCUCAACGCUAUGUCCUCAGCAUGUAACCCAGCGCCGGCCUUCCAAUACUUGUUUGGUGAAUGAAUGAAUGAGCCAAUAAACACGUGGACACACUCUGGGUCUCUGGCUUU
rnacentral:lncRNA from 13 species